rnacentral:lncRNA from 1 species
GACAAGGGUAAGGUCUGCGUAUAUACUACCCUUCCCAGACCCCACUAAGUGGGAUUAUACUGGGUGGUUGUUGUUGCUGAACCCUGAGAAUUGAAACAGUUUACCUGUAUCUACACACUUGCUUCCCAUGUUUCAAGAGAUUUUGAGUGGCUAAUAUUAUUCAUGCAGAUUUGUGCUGUUCUUUACCCUGGGGAUGCUACAGAGAAUGGAAAACUAUUACGACUAAAGCAACAAUUUUUGCUUUGCAGUGCAUCGCUUCAGGUUUACAGUUUCCUUACUCUCCACUUUCCUGCUUCUGUUCACUUUAAAUGCCAUAUCUUUCUCCUUUAUGCUAUUUAGGAAGCCAGCAUAUUGGAAGGAUAUUAAGGAGCCACUUUUUCCCUUGCAUUACAUCUUCAUGUUGAACUGUGCAUUGGUAAGCAAGAGGGGUUGCUCUGAUGGUAAGCAACCCCCACUUCCAACCGAGAGGUUGUGAGUUCGAGUCUCCCCAAGAGCAAGGUGGGAAGUUCUUGGAGGGAAGGAUGCCGGGGGUCUAUUUGGAAACAGCCUCUCUACCCAAGGACAAGGGUAAGGUCUGCGUAUAUACUACCCUUCCCAGACCCCACUAAGUGGGAUUAUACUGGGUGGUUGUUGUUGCUGAACCCUGAGAAUUGAAACAGUUUACCUGUAUCUACACACUUGCUUCCCAUGUUUCAAGAGAUUUUGAGUGGCUAAUAUUAUUCAUGCAGAUUUGUGCUGUUCUUUACCCUGGGGAUGCUACAG